rnacentral:rRNA from 1 species
UACGUAGGGUGCAAGCGUUAAUCGGAAUUACUGGGCGUAAAGCGUGCGCAGGCGGCUUUGCAAGACAGAUGUGAAAUCCCCGGGCUCAACCUGGGAACUGCAUUUGUGACUGCAAGGCUAGAGUACGGUAGAGGGGGAUGGAAUUCCGCGUGUAGCAGUGAAAUGCAUAGAUAUGCGGAGGAACACCGAUGGCGAAGGCAAUCCCCUGGACCUGUACUGACGCUCAUGCACGAAAGCGUGGGGAGCAAACAGG